UGGGUUGUACUUCCGGGUAGCUACGAACUCAAACUUUUACAUGUGUAAUUAUUGUAAUACACGACAAUAUCUCAUAAUAUUCAGGAAUUCAUAACUAAAAAAUAUCUGAAUGAAAUAUGUCAUGUUCAUUUGCAAUGUAGAUGUAAAUGAAGCAAGAUUGUGACUGUAGGUUUUGGCUUCGAGUGUAUAAGUUGACAUGGCAGCUUGCGGAGAGCGAACAAGUACCUGUCAUCAGCAGUCGUGUGUAGUGUGACAUCAAGAACCAUGAAGUAGACGACACCGCAAGCCGUCACGAUGUUGCUGAUUACCUCUGUCCUGUUUGUGGCUCUUGCCGUGCUCUGCGCCAUCUUGCAGUUCUGGGCCCACCGUACACGGAAAGAUGAAUCUGUCGGCAACAAUCCCCAGUUCCUCAAGUUCCAGCGAGGCUACUACCUGGUCUACCUGGUUGCCAUGUUCGCCGACUGGCUUCAAGGGCCGUACUUGUACAAACUCUACAGUUACUAUGGUUUCCAGGAAGAGCAGAUCGCUGUACUCUAUGUCUUCGGGGUUCGCCUCCUCUGUCAUUCUGGGAUCAUGGACUCCGAUUGCUGCGGAUCAGUUUGGCCGCAAGAAAUUAUGUGUUGUGUUUACAGUGACCUAUUCCUUGUCAUGCUUGCUCAAACUGUCCAGAAGCUACAUGAUAUUAAUCAUCGGAAGAAUCGUCGGCGGUGUGGCAACAUCUGUUUUGUUUUCCGCCUUCGAGGCUUGGUACGUUCACGAACAUCUGGAAACUCAUGACUUUCCAAAAGAAUGGAUUUCACUCACUUUUGCUAAAGCAUCUUUCUGGAAUGGUAUUCUGGCCAUGACAGCUGGAAUUACAACAAACAUUGUAUCGGAAUGGUUCGGUCUUGGACCCGUGGCACCGUACAUGCUGGCUGUUCCAUUCUUGAUAUUUGUGGGGAUCAUAAUCUCCACCCACUGGAAUGAGAACUACAGUGGACAUAAAGUGAAGUUCCCGGAAGGUGUGUGGUGAAGGCUUCAAGAGUAUUGUCACCAAUGAGAAGAUUUUCAUGAUCGGUGCCAUUGAAGCCCUGUUUGAGAGUGUUAUCUACAUUAUUAUAUUUCUAUGGACACCAAUAUUGGACACAGGUCAUCCAUCUCUCGGUCUGACCUUCUCCAGUUUUAUGGUGUGUAUUCUGAUUGGUCAGGCUGUGAACCAAAUUCUUAUUUCACGGAACAUUCCAGUGACGACCAUGUUGAUAGCAGCGACAAUAAUAGGCAUCACGAGUAUGUCGGUGUGUGUGAUAUCGACUCAUCCCGAGCAGAGGAAUGUGACUGUUACUUACGUUGCUUUGUUAUUGUUCGAGUUCGGAGUCGGAAUCUAUUUUCCAAGCAUGGGAUUUCUCCGGAACCACAUAAUUCCGGAGUCGCACCGUUACAGCAUAAUGAACUGGUUCCGAAUCCCCCUGAACCUCAUUUCUUGUGUUGUGUUGAUGUUGCUGCACGAAGACGUGUUCCGUCACGGCAACAGAAUGAUCUUCGUGAUCUGUAUAGUUCUCCUGUCGCUCGGACUACUGUGCGGGGUGCGCUUUGUGAAAAUCGCGAAAGAUGAUGAGAACUUGAAACAGGAUACCAUUUUGACAGAGAGCGAACAUAUUCAUAACAUUUUCUAGAAUAUUUCUUAACAUGUUCUAGAAUGUUUGUUUUUAGAUUAAAAUAUUUUCAAAAUGGAUAGAUUCUGAAGAGAUUGUACGUAAGAGAAUGGAGACUUCCAAAACGACUGGUUAGAGGUCUGACGGAAGAGGUGAAUGGAAACAAGAUGGACGGUCAGAACUGAAUCUGUCAACUGACAAUAUAAUUAAUACAAUAUAAUUGAUGUUUGGUAGACACAUAAAGAAGAAAUCCUGAUGGAAAGCUACCUUGACAAGAGUAUCAGGAGAAAAUGCAUGAAUGAUAUCACAGUAAAGACUGAUAUUAACCUUACUUAUUUCCCAUUGAUAUCCACGAUCAAAACUGAGAUCAGGAAUGGUGUUUGUUUCAUUCAGUUUUGAAAUUAAGGUGGCCUCGAGGAAAUUUGGGUUUGUGUAGUGGUACUUAAAUCUAGGACUCCUAAAUCUCGCAAGCUUCUAAGAUUAGAGUCACAACAAAGAUUACAGGACUUGCAUAAUUCUGUGCACAGCACUGCCUUAAUGAUAAUACAUUGGAAGUAACCACUGGCCCAAGACAACAUGAAUGUGUCCUGAUGAUUGUCCAUGUUGGUGUUCAAUACUCAGCAAGAUGGACCAUCAUCUUGAGCAACAGUCCACAACAUGGAGUCAUGAAUGUUAGACACUGCAUUCCAGAAAAUACGAAAUCAGUUGAUCAGUGACAGAAACAGUUUUGUCUUGAAUGUUUUGUGUGGGCCAUAUUUGUGUCUAUCUUCUAUAUACUCAGAAUACCAGCCCACUGAAGUGUUUCAGUGUAUCUUCUUGCCGGUAUAUUUUUACGUUUUCUACAUCAAUUGUCUUUAGAUGGCUUUCAUACUGGUUGCUUUAAAAAUCUUCAUUUCCUAGGUAGUCUUUACAAUAUAUCCAUAUCAUCUAUGUAGACACUGUUUUCAUUUGCACAAUUGAUAUAAAAAAAGCAGUUACCAUGGUUACUAGAGAUGUCACGAUACAUAGAUGUCACAUACUGGAAUAGAAUGCUGUUCACUUUUGGGCCACAGAUUACUUCAUGUAGUCACAUAUCACAUGACUGUCAUGUGUUUAUUGUAGAGGUUGACUGUUCUUAUGUGGAGUAGAUGGUUCAGUUCCAGGAGUGUAGCAGUAGAAGUGCUGACAUUGCAGUUUGCAAUAUUCGCCAACUCACCCAGAAUGCUCAUACUGCUCAACAUUAUCAGGCAGAUAAGUUUCAACGCUUGAACUGAUAUGGAUUUGUUUAUUUGGGAUGACUGGUUGUGAAUAUGUUUCUCAAUACGUUUAACAUAGUCGAAAUAUUUAUGUAUCGCUGAUUUUAGAUUUAUGAAUACAGAAUGAUGGAUGAUGAGCUAUUAUCCACAGACAUAGAGACAGUGUAGCGUGUACAAAUUAUUAUGGUACUAUUUCCAUUUAUUCAAAACAUAUUCAACAUGUUUCAGAUAUAUUUCAAAAUGUU